AUACGGAGGGAGCGAGCGUUAAUCGGAAUUACUGGGCGUAAAGCGCGCGUAGGCGGCUUUGUAAGUCGGAUGUGAAAGCCCAGGGCUUAACCCUGGAAUUGCAUUCGAUACUGCAGAGCUAGAGUAUGGUAGAGGGAAGUGGAAUUUCCGGUGUAGCGGUGAAAUGCGUAGAUAUCGGAAGGAACACCAGUGGCGAAGGCGACUUCCUGGGCCAAUACUGACGCUAAGGUGCGAAAGCGUGGGGAGCAAACAGAAUUAGAUACCCGAGUAGUCC
rnacentral:rRNA from 1 species